UACGAAGGGGGCUAGCGUUGUUCGGAAUUACUGGGCGUAAAGCGCACGUAGGCGGAUUUGUAAGUCAGGGGUGAAAUCCCGGGGCUCAACCUCGGAACUGCCUUUGAUACUGCAAGUCUUGAGUCCGGAAGAGGUGAGUGGAAUUCCUAGUGUAGAGGUGAAAUUCGUAGAUAUUAGGAAGAACACCAGUGGCGAAGGCGGCUCGCUGGUCCGGUACUGACGCUGAGACGCGAAAGCGUGGGGAGCGAACAGG
rnacentral:rRNA from 1 species